rnacentral:ncRNA from 1 species
GGGGAACCCGGUGCGAAUCCGGGGCUGACGCGCAGCGGUGUGGAACGGCAGGGGGCCGCUUCCGAGCCCGAAUGCCC